UGCCGCUUCAUCUGAUUCGUGUUGGGCUUCUGAGGGACCAACGUCUUCCUUUUCGUUGUCCGCUGCACCAUCUCCCUUUUUGUUCUUUACAUCUUUUACUGCGUGUAGUUCAGCCUCCUCCUGCAAUGCUGAUUUGUAAUUGUCCGGGAAAAACUGACAUGCCUCCUUGUGGCCAACGACCGAGUUGGUGCUUACAUAGCUCGGACCGUAAGCCAUUAACAUCGGCAGAGUUGGGGUAUUGACUUUGUUUACCUUCAGGACGAUCUUAUCGGUGCUUCGUGCGUGUACAAAAAUCGACGGUUUAAGUUAAUUGCGGCAGUUACCGAGAUAUGUAUGUAUUUACUUACGGUACGUAGGGUUUUGCAUUGUAUUUCUCGACCGAAUUGGCUAUGAACACCGCUGUCUGAGGAUUGUCGCUGGUGAAGAAGCCAUAAAGCGGAAUGUCUUCUCUGCAGGACUCAAGAAUAUUGUCCAAAUCUUUCUUCUUGUAGGCGUCGAAUGUCAUUAUAAUGUGCGGUGGCUCCGGGACAGGAUCGGGCGGUAGAAAAGUGGAUGUUUGUCCCCGGAAAUAUGUGUAAAUUAGAGCUGCAUGUGUGCGCUGGUCACUGGGCACCCAAAUCGGAGGAAUGCGGAUGGUCUUAUAAGUUUUAGCAUCCUCCAAUUUCACUUCGUCCUGAGCCUCUACUGCUUUGUUGUCAAUCUCGCAUUCGCCUUCGUCUUCUUCCAUAUUCUCUUCAUUGCGCUGUUCGACACCUACUAUUUCUGCCUCUUUCUCGGACACUGUUGAAGGUCCCACAUUAGUUGAGGGCACAACACCAGCACCUCAGCACUUACCUUCUCUUUGGAUUUCAACAUUAACCUCGAGCGGCACUAUUAUGGGUGGUACUGUGAUCUCCUCCUCGUUGAACUCAUCCGGGGGCUUUAUAGUCUCCUUGGUCAGCUCAUGGGCAUACUGGCGCAGCACGUUGGGCGGACUGCCAAGAGCCUCCUCCACCUUCCAGAAGCACAUCAGCAGCUCCUUGUCGUACAACUGCUCGAUGACGUCGCUCGCCAGUGGAUUCUCAGCUGCAAAGUUCACGGUGGUGAAGUCAUUGGGCGUUAUGGCAAAGACUUUGCGAUCCUUGCACUGGAUCUUCAGAGGAUCGGCCGGCUCCGAGAGCUUCUUGAACAUUUCCCGGUUGACUUGUGGCCCAAAGACAGUUAUCCCAAUAUCGGGAAGGUUCUGCAUUAUGCAAUCAGUGACAGACUUCAGGUACUCUAAUCGCUUCCUCUUGCACUCUUGCAGCUCAAUGUCCUCGGCCAGCCGCAGCGCCUUGUUCUUCACCUCCUGCUGCUCCAGUUCGAUGGGCUGUAGUUCGGUGAUCUCGUAGCAGUGAUGGGCCUCCUUGGCAAUGGUUGACUGCAGCAUCUUGGUGAUAAUGGCCACCAGCUUGGGCACGUCUGUGCCGAACAUGAUAUUGAUGGCCUUUCCGCUCUAUAAAGUACCAGAUACCAGAUGCCAGAACUAGACUUCUCGCCGACAGAUUCACUCACCGUUACAAACAUCCAGGUCGGCUCACUCUUCUUGUUAAACCUCUCCAGAUAGGAGAUGGAACCAGCUUUGCACUAUUGGUCAAGCAAACGAGAGAAUGAGAAUAUCCGUUCUUGUCAAGUGUGGGCAAGCAGGCAAGGUCUUACGAUGGCCAGCUGUAAGUUGUCGCCUCCGAGCUCCAGCUUGAUCUUCCGCAGACUGCCCACCAUUCCCAGACAGGGUCCACACCAUUCCGAGUAUAUGUCGAGCACUGCAGAGAAUCGAUUGCACAGGCAUCAUAAAUCAUACAUAAGUCCCAGUCCAAGGCUUACCGAGCAACCCGGAUCGCUGCAGGAAUUUCUCAAACUCCUCGUCCGUACUGAUGUCCGCCUGAAGCUGUUGGACUCCGCCCUUCUUUGCCAUUUUCCGCACACUGAUUCAUGAUUAUUCACUCCAUCGCCAGCAACAUCCAUACAUAUGUACAUACUUAGUGCAACAUUAAAUAUUGAUUAAACUAUGGUUGUCAUGAAGACAAUUCUUCAAUGCCAAACGCCAGCAUCUUCAUGAAUGUGCUUGAAUAAAUAAAGUACAACAGUAUGUCCAUAAAAAAACGCCUUAGAUAUAUGUAGCAGUAGUAGUAGUAAUAGAAUAUCUAUGUACAUGCAUUCCCAAUCGGUUUUUGUUGAGCCAAAGACAAUAAGUAAGAUGAGUAACGCCGAUUUGUUCUGCCUGGCUCUAGAGCUGGAUCCAGGCUCUCUUGAAAAGCCAGAGAGAGAGCCAGACGCUCUCUGAGGAUGAGAUUUAACUGUAUGUGGGCACACGAUUCUCAUAAAUUUGAGGUCUGCCUGUUUGUAUUGGUUUUUUUUGACGGCGCUGUCGAGCAUACAGCGUAUGCCAUAUGAGCGAUUCUUGCAUGGGACAAUCGUACCUAUUGCAAAAUAUUACUAGUUUUCUAUUAAAAAGUAGCUAUUGAUUAGUGGACAAAAAGUGGUUUUGUGGCGAUCAAUUCCAAAACAGAUUUUAGCGAAAGUUCUGAUAAAUGUUGUGCAUUUUUUUUCAUAUCAAAGUUAAUGAAAUUAUCAGUUAAUUAGAUAAAUUAGCUAAGCUUCAACAUUUUUAUAAAAUAACAUCCUUAAAGAGAACACGGAUAUAUUAGCGAGAAGGACAUUUUACCAGGAUAAAACGCCAAUUCAUGUUUUCUCGGGCUGCAAUGGGCCAGAAUAUACCGUUGAUGAGGUGGCCGGCAAUGAGUCCGGAUCUGUGAGGCAUCCGGGCAGCUAAAGUUUCGGCCUGUACAAGGCAGUACGAUACCUUGAAGGACUUAAAACAAGCGAUCGUUGCAGAAUGAGACAAGGUUUAAUACCCCGUAGGCUGCAACUCCAUUAAUUAUUAAACUCUCUUAAUUUUCCUUGAAACUUGUUCCUUGGAAACGUGUUUUCAUUCAAAUUUUAUAUGGCUUAUAUACCCAUAUUAAUUUAUUAUUUUUUGUUAUUUAAAAAAUUAAUAUGGAAUUUCUCUUGUACUUGAUAACAGUUAACCAAAUAAAAAUAUAAAAUAAAUCAAGAAAAUAGGUAUUGAAAAAAAGGCAUCCAAAGCCGAAGGAACACCGGAAACACCCGAAACACUGCUGCACUGCUGUUGAACAUGUUUAAUUUUUAAAAACUAAAUACAUAUGUACUUAUGUGUUACAAUUUUGGGCAAAACAUAGUCUUUCACAAUUCAGAAAUCGUCGAAAAACACCGUAAUGGGAAUUUGUUUUCUACAAAUAUACGAUACGUUUAUGUAUUUGAAUGAGUGAACUAAG